rnacentral:lncRNA from 1 species
UUUUAACCAUUUUUAAAAAUAUGUUUUUAUAUAGAAUGAUGAAUUAAUAUUUAUCAUUAUUAUAUUUUUAAAUUUCAUAUUAUUAUAACAAUAUAAAACAUAUUUAAAAAAUUUAUGUAAACCCUCCAAAAUUCUUCAAAAUCCUCCGUCAAUACAAAUUUGAAUUCCCACAACUAGGGAAAUUUUAUAUUAUGAAUUAAAAAAAAAUCUUCCAAAAUUCUCCAAACCAAAAUGUUUAAUUUUU